CCUACGGGUGGCAGCAGUGGGGAAUAUUGGACAAUGGGCGAAAGCCUGAUCCAGCAAUGCCGCGUGAGUGAUGAAGGCCUUAGGGUUGUAAAGCUCUUUUACCAGGGAUGAUAAUGACAGUACCUGGAGAAUAAGCUCCGGCUAACUCCGUGCCAGCAGCCGCGGUAAUACGGAAGGUGCAAGCGUUAAUCGGAAUUACUGGGCGUAAAGCGCGCGUAGGUGGUUUGUUAAGUUGGAUGUGAAAGCCCUGGGCUCAACCUAGGAACUGCAUCCAAAACUAACUCACUAGAGUACGAUAGAGGGAGGUAGAAUUCAUAGUGUAGCGGUGGAAUGCGUAGAUAUUAUGAAGAAUACCAGUGGCGAAGGCGGCCUCCUGGAUCUGUACUGACACUGAGGUGCGAAAGCGUGGGUAGCGAACAGGAUUAGAUACCCUGGUAGUC
rnacentral:rRNA from 1 species